ensembl:snoRNA small nucleolar RNA SNORD113/SNORD114 family
UGGAUCAGUGAUGAGAACUUGGGGGAUCUGAACUAAGAUAUUGUGACUAAACCCGUGUAUGACUCUGAGGUCUUU